GGACUACACGGGUAUCUAAUCCUGUUUGCUCCCCACGCUUUCGUGUCUGAGUGUCAGUGCUGGUCCAGGUAGCCGCCUUCGCCACUGGUGUUCCUCCCGAUCUCUACGCAUUUCACCGCUACACCGGGAAUUCCACUACCCUCUACCGCACUCUAGCUCGCCAGUAUCCACUGCCAUUCCCAGGUUGAGCCCGGGGAUUUCACAGCAGACUUAACGAACCACCUGCACACGCUUUACGCCCAGUAAUUCCGAGUAACGCUUGCACCCUUCGUAUUACCGCGGCUGCUGGCAC
rnacentral:rRNA from 2 species